rnacentral:snoRNA from 1 species
AAAGAUGAUGAUUUCAGCCUUGCCUGAGAUGUGAUGAGGGAGUGACGGACUGAUU